rnacentral:rRNA from 1 species
GGGGAAUAUUGCGCAAUGGGCGAAAGCCUGACGCAGCGACGCCGCGUGAGGGGCGAAGGUCCUCGGAUUGUAAACCUCUUUCAGCAGGGACGAAGCGAAAGUGACUGUACCUGCAGAAGAAGCACCGGCUAACUACGUGCCAGCAGCCGCGGUAAUACGUAGGGUGCAAGCGUUGUCCGGAUUUAUUGGGCGUAAAGAGCUCGUAGGCGGUUUGUCGCGUCGGAUGUGAAAACCCAAUGGCUUAACCUGGGGCCUGCAUUCGAUACGGGCAGACUAGAGUGUGGUAGGGGAGACUGGAACUCCAGGUGUAGCGGUGGAAUGCGCAGAUAUCAGGAAGAACACCGAUGGCGAAGGCAGGUCUCUGGGCCACAACUGACGCUGAGGAGCGAAAGCGUGGGGAGCAAAC